ACAUGUCCACCGGUUUUCCAUAAGGAUCUUUUCUCAAGACUUCAGGGGACAAGUAGCCCGGAGUGCCAGCAAAUCCUGGAUGGAUAACAAGAUAAGAUUGAAGAGCAAAGGAAUGUAGAAAAAAAAGUAGCACACCUCUUAGCUGGCUGGACAUCUGUUGUCUAGCAACUCCUGCACCAAUCAGAGCGUCAGACCUCCCCUCUCCUCUGCAGUGGAACCAGGCUUGCAUGCAAAUGGCAGAUUUUCAAGAGUUCAGACAUAACUAUCAAACUCCACUGAACAACAGACAGAAAAGCACCGACUGCCAGAUCUGACAUGGCAAUCUAUGUUUCAGCUUUCACUGACAAAUGUAAGAAAAGUCAGCUCAAAAAGGAAACUGUAACCUGGAAAGAUGGCAAAGUGAGCUUUAAGCUCCACCUAGAUUCAGUGAAACAUGGGUUUCUGCUACAAAGGAUCAAUUACAGGCUGUAGUACUAUGAUGUGAGGUGAUAUGUGUGAUGGGAAGAAACUGAACUCUAUACAAAUGCAGAAAAAGUCAAACAUAGGAUGAUGUUUUGUGAGUACAAGAGAUGUCCAGAAAUGUUACAAGUUACAAAUUACAAGAAAAACUUUUUUAUUUUUUAUUAUAUUUUAAUUCUAAAAACAAACCUAAAUCCCUAGCAUGCUUUGUUUUGUUUUUUUACUAGUAAGUCAUUAAGGCACAUAUGUAUUGUUUUCAGUUAUAACCCUACUGACAACAAGUAGUGAGUAGUCUUGUACUGACAACAGUAGCUUGUGACUGGCUGACAACGACCCUUCCUCUUACUUAAAAUGUGCUUAUGUAAGCCCUGCUGCCACAGACACUUGUGAGACGCACUUUGCUUACGUAGUUCGAACUGACAAAAGCGUGUCGACAGGCUCUGUAGCCGCUGUUACUGUCCAGACAAAUGCAAAGUGUCUGUAGUCAGGUGUGUUCACUCAACGGAGGCUUACGCUUGCUUAGUCUCAUCUAAAUGAGUGUUUGCCCACAGAUUAAAAAAACAAGAUUUUCCAAAUA